rnacentral:rRNA from 1 species
CCCUUAGAUGCUCUGGGCCGCACGCGCGCUACACUGGUCGAUGCAACGAGUUUCUUUCCUUGGCCGACAGGCCUGGGCAAUCUUUGAACAUCGAUCGUGAUCGGGAUAGAUUCUUGUAAUUUUUGAUCUUAAACGAGGAAUUCCCAGUAAGCGCAAGUCAUAAGCUUGCGUUGAUUACGUCCCUGCCCUUUGUACACACCGCCCGUCGCUACUACCGAUUGAACGUUUUAGUGAGGUAUUUGGACUGGACCUUCGGAGGUUCGCGCCUCCGUUGCUGUUCGGGAAGACUCCCAAACUUGAGCGUUUAGAGGAAGUAAAAGUCGUAACA